rnacentral:rRNA from 1 species
UGAAGAUUGUAACCUUGGGGUUGGCUCUUGUCUAUGUUUCUUGGAACAGGACGUCACAGAGGGUGAGAAUCCCGUGCGAUGAGAUGCCCAAUCCUAUGUAAGGUGCUUUCGAAGAGUCGAGUUGUUUGGGAAUGCAGCUCUAAGUGGGUGGUAAAUUCCAUCUAAAGCUAAAUAUUGGCGAGAGACCGAUAGCGAACAAGUACAGUGAUGGAAAGAUGAAAAGAACUUUGAAAAGAGAGUGAAAAAGUACGUGAAAUUGUUGAAAGGGAAGGGUUUGAGAUCAGACUCGAUAUUUUGUGAGCCUUGCCUUCGUGGCGGGGUGACCCGCAGCUUAUCGGGCCAGCAUCGGUUUGGGCGGUAGGAUAAUGGCGUAGGAAUGUGACUUUGCUUCGGUGAAGUGUUAUAGCCUGCGUUGAUGCUGCCUGCCUAGACCGAGGACUGCGAUUUUAUCAAGGAUGCUGGCAUAAUGAUC